rnacentral:tRNA from 1 species
GCCGGCGUAGCUUAGUGGUAGAGCGUUGCACUUGUACUUCUUCGACAUGCAAAGGUCGCGCGUUCAAUUCGCGUCGUUGGCA